rnacentral:rRNA from 1 species
GAUGAACGCUAGCGGCAGGCCUAACACAUGCAAGUCGAGGGGCAGCACAGAAACAGCAAUGUUUUGGUGGCGACCGGCGGACGGGUGCGUAACGCGUAUGCAACCUACCUUUAACAGGGGGAUAACGGAGAGAAAUUUCCACUAAUACCCCAUAACAUCGAUCAAGGCAUCUUGAUUGGUUGAAAACUCCGGUGGUUAAAGAUGGGCAUGCGUUGUAUUAGGUAGUUGGUGAGGUAAUGGCUCACCAAGCCUACGACACAUAGGGGGACUGAGAGGUUAGCCCCCCACACUGGUACUGAGACACGGACCAGACUCCUACGGGAGGCAGCUGUGAGGAAUAUUGGUCAAUGGGGGCAACCCUGAACCAGCCAUGCCGCGUGCAGGAAGACGGCUCUAUGAGUUGUAAACUGCUUUUAAACAGGGAUAAAGCACAGUAUGUAUACUGUGUUGAAGGUACUGUAAGAAUAAGGAUCGGCUAACUCCGUGCCAGCCGCCGCGGUAA